UAUUUGAGUGCACAUCCUCGGCAGGGGAACAGCCAAUGAUUUCAGAGAACUAUAUUAUUACUUUGUGUUUGCUUAUCUUUUUCUCUCCUUACCUGAUAAUCAUCUGUAGCUCUAUCUGUCUUUUUAAGGACAUGUGAGAAAAUGGAAAAGGUUACAGAGGACAGUCAAAGAAUUGCAUAUUAUUACCUGGCUUUCCAGAGCUGACUGUGCAAUUGUUUGUUUUUGAUGAGAUAACAAUGAAGAUAGAAUUGUUCAGAGCAAAUGCUACUCUCAUUUCAUCAAGCCAUUCCUCACUGUCCCACUCUCACAUACAGCUGCCCCUCCCACCACUGAAGACUCUCAGGGACACUAGAGCCACUGCCAAUGGAGUGCUUGGGAAGAGGUCUUCCUUCCAUUAGCCUUUGAGCUCCCCUGGACAGGGGUCAUAGUCUCUGUAUUUCUGGAUGCACAGUUACUUCCCCUUGGAUUUUUGUGCAGUAAAUAAAUACAUAGCAAAACAUAAGACUUUACCAGGAGUAGAGGAAGAGUAUUCUUCUCGGAGUCCUCUACAUGCUGUAGGACUGGCUCUCCAUCGUAUCCUUACCAUGUUCCUGGAUGCCUUUGCAUUUUAAAGAGACCCUUGCUGAUUCUUUAUGAGCCAGAUUGCAGAGGAGAAAUCCAUACCAUUGUAAAGAAGGGAACAUUUCUUCAUGAGGUCGGCCCUCUAUAUUGUCUUCAGUCUCACCUGGAAUGCAGUACAGCCUCGUGUGAAAGACUGUGGACUAUGGAGUCCAAACACUCUGGAUUCAAACACAAGCUCUCUCACUACAAUCCUGUGCAACCUUGGAGAAGUAACCUUUUAGUUUUAUGAGCCUCAGUUUCUUUGUCUGUAAGAAGAGAAAAAUGAAAGCAUCAACUCUAUUAUGGGAAUGUCAUGAGAGUAAGGGGAGCUAACACAGCCCCAGUGUGCAGCAGUGGUGAAACCAGAAGAUAUGAUGCCCAGGAUGGCUAAGAGAGUCUCAGAACAAUGGUUCCUGGGACUAGAAUAAAAAUUUUUUGAGAGCAAGGGGUCUGGUUUCUAUCCCCAUUAUGAAGACUUUCUCUUAGCUUUCAAUCAACCUUCCACAUAGCUAUCCAGGAGAGUUUCCAGUGAGAUCUUAUUGUUUCUCUGGCUAAAAUUUUCAGUGGCUACAAAAUACAUGAAGUCUCUGUGAAGACAAUGCUUAGCCAAAAAUAGCGUUUAGAAGAUAUGAAGUUAGA